rnacentral:rRNA from 1 species
AUUGAACGCUGGCGGCAUGCCUUACACAUGCAAGUCGAACGGUAACAGGUCUUCGGAUGCUGUCGAGUGGCGAACGGGUGAGUAAUGCAUCGGAACGUGCCCAGUAGUGGGGGAUAGCCCGGCGAAAGCCGGAUUAAUACCGCAUACGACCUGAGGGUGAAAGGGGGGGAUCGCAAGACCUCUCGCUAUUGGAGCGGCCGAUGUCAGAUUAGCUAGUUGGGGGGGUAAAGGCCUACCAAGGCAACGAUCUGUAGUUGGUCUGAGAGGACGACCAGCCACACUGGGACUGAGACACGGCCCAGACUCCUACGGGAGGCAGCAGUGGGGAAUUUUGAACAAUGGGCGCAAGCCUGAUCCAGCAAGGCCGCGUGCAGGAAGAAGGCCUUUGGGUUGUAAACUGCUUUUGUCAGGGAAGAAAUCUUCUGGGUUAAUACCUCGGGAGGAUGACGGUACCUGAAGAAUAAGCACCGGCUAACUACGUGCCAGCAGCCGCCGUAA